rnacentral:rRNA from 1 species
CACCCUGCGGGAGGCAGCAGUGGGGAAUUUUGGACAAUGGGCGAAAGCCUGAUCCAGCAAUGCCGCGUGAGUGAAGAAGGCCUUCGGGUUGUAAAGCUCUUUUGUCAGGGAAGAAACGGUGAAAGCUAAUAUCUUUUGCUAAUGACGGUACCUGAAGAAUAAGCACCGGCUAACUACGUGCCAGCAGCCGCGGUAAUACGUAGGGUGCAAGCGUUAAUCGGAAUUACUGGGCGUAAAGCGUGCGCAGGCGGUUUUGUAAGUCUGAUGUGAAAUCCCCGGGCUCAACCUGGGAAUUGCAUUGGAGACUGCAAGGCUAGAAUCUGGCAGAGGGGGGUAGAAUUCCACGUGUAGCAGUGAAAUGCGUAGAUAUGUGGAGGAACACCGAUGGCGAAGGCAGCCCCCUGGGUCAAGAUUGACGCUCAUGCACGAAAGCGUGGGGAGCAAACAGGAUUAGAUACCCCGGUAGUCCCAU